CCUACGGGUGGCUGCAGUAGGGAAUAUUGGGCAAUGGACGCAAGUCUGACCCAGCCACGCCGCGUGAAGGAUGACUGCCCUAUGGGUUGUAAACUUCUUUUGUAUGGGAAGAAACCUCCGAACGUGUUCGGAGCUGCCGGUACCAUAAGAAUAAGCAUCGGCUAACUCCGUGCCAGCAGCCGCGGUAAUACGGAGGAUGCAGGCGUUGUCCGGAUUCAUGGGGUUGAAAGGGGACGUAGGCGGCAGUGGUGAAAGCUUGCAGCUUAACUGUGAAAAUGCCAUUGAAACUGAUUGUCUUGAGUUCGAUUGAGGUAGAUGGAAUGUAUCAUGUAGCGGUGAAAUGCUUAGAUAUGAUACAGAACACCAAUUGCGAAGGCAGUCUACUAAGUCGAUACUGACGCUGAGGCACGAAAGCAUGGGGAGCAAACAGGAUUAGAUACCCGGGUAGUC
rnacentral:rRNA from 1 species